UUGCGUUGCGACUUAUGUUUCCUCCUGUGAAUUCUGAUGUUCCUGUGAUUUGGCAGUGAGUGUUUUGUGUCGCCUUGGCUAUGCGCUGUCGCACUGUGUUGGACGCCACACUCACAACAUUUCUCGUAGUGAUGCGUGCGUUGUGACAUGUGUUUCGGUGACGACUGUGCAGAUGCGCUGGCAGAAUGGUGUCACCAUGGCCAAUCCGCCGUCAUGACGCGCCGUCCACUGUUCCGUGCAAGGUGAUGACUUACCAUGGCCGAAAUGGAUUCCACUGAUCCGUAACAAGCGCCAUGCACGCGAGCCUGACGGCGCAGCCCACCGCACCGCCCAGUCCGAGCGAGGCAGGCAUGACGCCUGGUGCUUUCCACGGAUUCCAACCGCAUUUAUCCGGGUCGCGAAACUCUGCCGUAUCGAGAGAAGGUCUUUCCGGCGGCCGUGGAGCGGCGCUGACGAGCGGAUGACGGCUUCGAGUUGACGGCAUCAAGAAGACGACCAGAAGUGCCCCCUCAGUCGUUCGCCUGACUCGCUUUUGUUUCGUUCUGUUUUUCCAUCGACUCCUCGCUCGCUCGUUGCUGCUAUGGUGCUGAUCCCAUGGGCUUCAUCUACACACCGCGUGUCCUUGCCGGAACGCGCAGCUUGCCGGCUCCUCGAGUCUCUUCUGCGGUAUGUGGUCGCCGCAAGCCACUCGACGCGUUGAAGUGCGCGCCUUCACCAAACAGCCAAUUGCUGUAUAGCUGCCUUCGGCGUACCUCCGCCACCCGCAUUUGCUUUUUUUUUCUUUUCUUUUUCCACAGCGCCUUUCGGCCUUGGCUUUACCGCCCCUUCACCCCCCUUACUCCUCCUUACUCCAAACCUUCUUUCGCCACGCAUUCUUACUUUUCUUCAUUUAAUCCUUGUGGGCCGCCCUCGUUUCCGAAUGAGCUUGCGCGAUGGGUGUUCCAUCGAACAGCGUGGCGAUGUGUUCUACACGCUACGCUCAGUUUCAUACUCCGCAGCUAUAGCGCUACCCAAGCAGCGCGGUCAUAGAUGCAUCACUCCGCGCGUUUCGCAGUGCAGUUGUAUUUCAUCUGCGACGCUUUUUAUGGAAUAAUUGCUUCAUACAUUGACAAAUAAAGUUUAUUCCUAUCCUAUACAUUACCACUAAAAGUUGAGGAAGUAAAGUUACGCCAAUUAACGUACUAUUUAUGCAUCUUUGUGCUGCCAGCAUUCGAAGUACCACGUGCCUGCGGUAGGUCAUUGCAGCUGUUCGCAGAAGCGUGUCAGUCCGCCCGGUCGGCAGUAAAUAGGUGAAGCUAUCAUACGCCUCCCAUGUAAUGCGCAGUUAUGCCAUAUUUUGCAACAUAGAAGUGUGAGGCAAUGCUACAUCGAGUGAUUGAAUAAGCUUUAUUACGGAGACCAAACUGUUGAUGCCCGAAGGUGGGCGCGGCCACCUUUUUUCCAGGUAGCCGUGGCCCUGUUCUGACAGCCUAUCCCUGUUCACUAGCCGUAGCUGGUCCUCAGGUCUUGGGCUUGUCAGCUGGGCCUCCCACUGGCCUUCUGUUGGUGCUUGGAUGGGCGUUGUCCGCGCGGGUCCUUUUUGCAUGUGACAUCGAAAUACUUUUUUUUUUCUUUAUCCAGUGCCUCAUCCUUUGCGAUCUACCUACGAACAGAUUGUGUCGCAUUUCUUUGGCGGAGUACAAUCAAGCAGUCGUCGUGUCAUCUCCUUGCUGCUGUCACAGGCACACAACUGCCCACCGUACACUUCCCACUGAAUA
rnacentral:lncRNA from 1 species